UGAGGAAUAUUGGUCAAUGGACGCAAGUCUGAACCAGCCAUGUCGCGUGAAGGAUGACUGCCCUAUGGGUUGUAAACUUCUUUUAUAUGGGAAGAAUAUGAUUACGAGUAAUCAAAUGCCGGUACCAUAUGAAUAAGCAUCGGCUAACUCCGUGCCAGCAGCCGCGGUAAUACGGAGGAUGCAAGCGUUAUCCGGAUUUAUUGGGUUUAAAGGGUGUGUAGGUGGACCUUUAAGUCAGUGGUGAAAUCCUGCAGCUUAACUGUAGAACUGCCAUUGAAACUGAAGGUCUUGAGUAUAGACGAGGUAGGCGGAAUGAGUUAUGUAGCGGUGAAAUGCAUAGAUAUAACUCAGAACACCGAUUGCGAAGGCAGCUUACUAGACUAUUACUGACACUGAUGCACGAAAGCGUGGGUAGCGAACA
rnacentral:rRNA from 1 species